rnacentral:rRNA from 1 species
AUUGAACGCUGGCGGCAGGCCUAACACAUGCAAGUCGAGCGGAGCGGCGGACGGGGGAGUAAUGCUUAGGAAUCUGCCUGGUAGUGGGGGAUAACGUCAGGAAACGGGCGCUAAUACCGCAUCCUAUCAGAUGAGCCUAGGUCGGAAUAGCUAUUUGGUGGGGUAAAGGCAUACCAAGGCGACGAUCCGUAACUGGGCUGAGAGGAUGAUCAGUCAAACUGGAACUGAGACACGGUCCAGACUCCUACGGGAGGCAGCAGUGGGGAAUAUUGGACAAUGGGCGAAAGCCUGAUCCAGCCAGGCCGCGUGUGUGAAGAAGGUCUUCGGAUUGUAAAGCACUUUAAGUUGGGAGGCGUUACCAACAGAAUAAGCACCGGCUAACUUCGUGCCAGCAGCCGCGGUAAUUC